AAUUAGUACAAUUUCUUUUUCACGGACAUCUUUAAAAAAUUAUAAAAUAUAAACUCAUGCUUUUUUAGAAAUUCACGAACCCUAUAUUGCUGAAGUUCAUGUUCUGACGAACGACUUAUUUGGUCUUCGUAUUUCAAAUUCGUCGACCCCCAAAGUAAUUUAGGACCUUCUUUUAUAAAACUUUCAAGCAAUUCAUUUAUUUCCUCUGUCUUCUUUCCAUUUCCAGUUGCCUGUGUCGAUUUAUUUUGAUCCAUUGGUAUCGUCGAUGUAACCUCGAAAUUGUUUUGUAAUAAGAAAUC